UAGGGAAUCUUCCGCAAUGGACGAAAGUCUGACGGAGCAACGCCGCGUGAGUGAUGAAGACUUUCGGGUCGUAAAACUCUGUUGUUAGGGAAGAACAAGUGCUAGUUGAAUAAGCUGGCACCUUGACGGUACCUAACCAGAAAGCCACGGCUAACUACGUGCCAGCAGCCGCGGUAAUACGUAGGUGGCAAGCGUUAUCCGGAAUUAUUGGGCGUAAAGCGCGCGCAGGUGGUUUCUUAAGUCUGAUGU
rnacentral:rRNA from 1 species